AUUGAACGCUGGCGGCAUGCCUUACACAUGCAAGUCGAACGGCAGCACGGGAGCAAUCCUGGUGGCGAGUGGCGAACGGGUGAGUAAUAUAUCGGAACGUGCCCAGUCGCGGGGGAUAACGCAGCGAAAGCUGUGCUAACACCGCAUACGAUCUACGGAUGAAAGCGGGGGAUCGCCAGACCUCGCGCGAUUGGAGCGGCCGGUAUCAGCUUAGCUAGUUGGUGAGGUAAAGGCUCACCAAGGCGACGAUCUGGAGCUGGUCUGAGAGGACGACCAGCCACACUGGAAAUGAGACACGGUCCAGACUCCUACGGGAGGCAGCAGUGGGGAAAUGUGGACAAUGGGCGAAAGCCUGAGCCAGCAACGCCGCGUGCAGGAUGAAGGCCUUCGGGUUGUAAACUGCUUUUGUACGGGACGAAACGGUGAGCUCUAAUACAGUUUGCUAAUGACGGUACCGUAAGAAUAAGCACCGGCUAACUACGUGCCAGCCGCCGCCGUAA
rnacentral:rRNA from 1 species